ACGACGGCCUGCCGGAGCCUCUGGACCUGGCCCUGGAAGAACCAAAAUCCAACCUGGGGAUCAUCAUUGGCUGCGUUGUGGCUGCUCUUGUCCUGGCGGGUGUGAUUGCUGGGAUCCUGGUAUUCUUCA